GCCGCGGGACGGAAGCGAGCGGGCGCGGGCGCCGCGCAGAUGGCCGGGGCGAGCGAGGUCUGAGGCUCCGCUCCCCGAAACGUGACCAUGUGGAUUCAACAGCUUUUAGGACUCAGUUCCAUGUCCAUCCGCUGGCCGGGCCGCUCCCUAGGAAGCCAUGCUUGGAUACUUAUAGCCAUGUUUCAGCUCGCCAUGGAUCUGCCGUCGUGUGAGUCCCUGGGCCCGGGCCCCGACUUCCGGCUCCUGCCCCGGCCACCGCAGCGGCCGCCCCGGCUGUGGAGUCUGAAGAGCGGACAGGCGGCGCGCAUCCCCGUGCCCGUGUGGAGCCCGCGCCCGGCGCGCGUGGAGCGCAGCCACGGGCAGAUGCCCAGCCCGCGCGCUAAGCGGGCGCACAGACCCAGGGACCAGGUGGCCGCCCUGGUGCCCCGAGGGGGGCUCGCCAAGCCCCCGGCCGCCGCCAAAUCCAGCCCUUCCCUCGGCUCCUCCUCCUCGUCCCCGUCCCCCACGGCGGGCGGCGGGGCAGCCACGGACCGGCAGGCCCUCCUGCGGCGGGGAAAGAGGCACCUGCAGGGGGCCGCCUUCAACACCUUUGACUUCCGCGGCAGCAGGCCCACCACGGAGACGGAGUUCAUCGCCUGGGGGCCCACGGGGGAGGAGGAGGCCCCAGAGUCCAACACGUUUCCGGGGCUUUACGGCCCCACCACGGCCUCCAUCUCACAGACACGGAAGACAACUGUGGCCACCGCCACCACCACCACCACAGCCACCAUGGCCACCUCCACGACGCUGCAGACUAAGGGGGUCACGGAGCCCCUGGGCCCCAGGAAUAGGAUCCCGGUUGGGGUUAGCACAACGGAGCCUUCCACCAGUCCCAGCAGAGACGAUGGUGAAGACGUCAAGCCCCCGCGGAUCCUGGGGGAGACCUCAGGUCUGGCUGUUCAUCAGAUUAUCACCAUCACUGUCUCCCUCAUCAUGGUCAUAGCUGCUCUGAUUACAACUCUUGUCUUAAAAAACUGCUGUGCCCAAAGCGGGAACACGCGUAGGAAUAGCCACCAGCGGAAGAUCAACCAGCAGGAGGAAAGCUGCCAGAACCUGACGGACUUCACCCCUGCCCGGGUGCCCAGCAGCCUGGACAUAUUCACGGCCUAUAACGAGACCCUCCAGUGCUCUCACGAGUGUGUCCGGGCGUCUGUGCCCGUGUACACCGACGAGACGCUGCACCCGACCGGGGAGUACAAAUCCACGUUUAACGGGAACCGACCCUCUUCUUCUGAUCGACAUCUUAUUCCUGUGGCCUUUGUGUCUGAGAAAUGGUUUGAGAUCUCCUGCUGACUGGCCGAAGUCUUGUUUACCUCCUGGGGGCAGGGCAGACGCCAUGUGUCUGUUUUAUGGAUUCCGUUGGUGAACCUGUAAAAAAAAAAAAAAAAAAAAAAUUUAAAUUAAAAAAAAACAACAACAACAACCACACACACAAAACCUAAAACUAAACUUUCUACGGGGAGGGUCCCCAUACCUACCGCUUCAGUUUGCCGGUGGGGAGCUCAAAGAGCAGGACGCUAUAGGCCAAAUAUAUUUUUAUAAAAAUGCUCACGCCUAUGGGGGACUGCCUUCUGCCAGAGUUUUCUUUGGAGAACAGAAAGAAGAAAAGCAAGAAAGAAGCUGGAGACAGAGAAGGCCAGCAGGAAGCACCUGAAGCCUGGGAUUUGUACUGAUUCUGAACCUGUGCCAAUAAUACCAUUAUGUGCCAUGUACUGACCCGAAAGACUUGGUGACCAAGCCGAAGCCAAGCGAACCACGCGUAGAAAUCUUACAGAAAAUGGGGGGUGGGAAUCUUCCAAUAGAGUCGCUAUUUCUGGUUAAUAUACAUAUAUAAAUAUAUAAAUACACACAGACACACACACACACUUUUUUUGUACUGUAGCAAUUUUUGAAUAUCUUCAAUGUUCCUUUUUAAAAAAAUGUUAUCGGUUACAAAAUCUGAUUUAUUUAACAUGCUUAGUAUGAACAGAAUAAACUGGUGUUUUCUACUUUGGCAACAUAUCGCACACACAGGCACACACAUGCACACAUACCCACACACAAACACGUACACGCAUAUAUAUGCAUCUAUUGGAAAUGCAGUUCCACGAGUGAGCACAUUCCUUCUGGUGACCUGGUAUCCCAUUGCCAUCCAUCCGGGGGAUAGCCUGGACCCACGCAGACAGACCCCUCAAUGACACAUCCUGCAUUUGCUGGUAUUUGGUGAGUGGCACUAGAUGUAUAAUUUAUUAUCUUGGGCCAGAAUUAAGAAUGCCAUGGUUUUAUAUACAUACAUAUAUAUAGAGAGACACAUAAAUACGAUCUUUUUUCAUCUAAUUGUUUGAAGAAGCUACCUAACAGCCACGCACACAUUUAUGUAGCCAGCUGCUUACAAAUGGGGCUGAGCGUCAGAUUGGGUGGGUGGUGGAUUCCUGACCAUCUUUGUGUUAUACAAGCAUAGACCGAAUUAAAGAAAAUUUUCCAGUUCCAAAAAUUA